rnacentral:misc_RNA from 1 species
UCAAACUUGGUCAUUUAGAGGAAGUAAAAGUCGUAACAAGGUCUCCGUAGGUGAACCUGCGGAGGGAUCAUUAACGACUACGCGCCUCAGGGCGCCCCUCAAACCCACCGUCAUCGUCACGAUCGUUGCUUCGGCGGGCCGUUGCGCCCGCCGGAGGCCCCCAGACCCGCGACGUCAGUGUCGUCAGAGACCUAUAUCCAAUCGUCAAAACUUUCAACAACGGAUCUCUUGGUUCCGGCAUCGAUGAAGAACGCAGC